rnacentral:rRNA from 1 species
CAGUCGCCACGGUAAUACGAAGGGUGCAAGCGUUAAUCGGGAUUACUGGGCGUAAAGCGUGCGUAGGUGGUGGUUUAAGUCCGUUGUGAAAGCCCUGGGCUCAACCUGGGAAUUGCAGUGGAUACUGGCUCGCUAGAGUGUGUCAGAGGAUGGUGGAAUUCCCGGUGUAGCGGUGAAAUGCGUAGAGAUCGGGAGGAACAUCAGUGGCGAAGGCGGCCAUCUGGGACAACACUGACGCUGAGGCACGAAAGCGUGGGGAGCAAACAGGAUUAGAUACCCCAGUAGUCCCUGUCUCUUAUAC